rnacentral:rRNA from 1 species
AACCAGCACCUCAAGUGGUCAGGAUGAUUAUUGGGCCUAAAGCAUCCGUAGCCGGCUCUGUAAGUUUUCGGUUAAAUCUGUACGCUUAACGUACAGGCUGCCGGGAAUACUGCAGAGCUAGGUAGUGGGAGAGGUAGACGGUACUCGGUAGGAAGGGGUAAAAUCCUUUGAUCUAUUGAUGACCACCUGUGGCGAAGACGGUCUACCAGAACACGUACGACGGUGAGGGAUGAAAGCUGGGGGAGCAAACCGGAUUAGAUACCCGGGUAGUCCCAGCUGUAAACUAUGCAAACUCAGUGAUGCAUUGGCUUGUGGCCAAUGCAGUGCUGCAGGGAAGCCGUUAAGUUUGCCGCCUGGGAAGUACGUACGCAAGUAUGAAACUUAAAGGAAUUGGCGGGGGAGCACCACAAGGGGUGAAGCCUGCGGUUCAAUUGGAGUCAACGCCAGAAAUCUUACCCGGAGAGACAGCAGAAUGAAGGUCAAGCUGAAGACUUUACCAGACAAGCUGAGAGGUGGUGCAUGGCCGUCGCCAGCUCGUGCCGUGAGAUGUCCUGUUAAGUCAGGUAACGAGCGAGAUCCCUGCCUCUAGUUGCCACCAUUACUCUCAGGAGUAGUGGGGCGAAUUAGCGGGACCGCCGCAGUUAAUGCGGAGGAAGGAAGGGGCCACGGCAGGUCAGUAUGCCCCGAAACUCUGGGGCCACACGCGGGCUGCAAUGGUAACGACAAUGGGUUUCGGAUUCGAAAGGAUGAGGUAAUCCUCAAACGUUACCACAGUUAUGACUGAGGGCUGCAACUCGCCCUCACGAAUAUGGAAUCCCUAGUAACUGCGUGUCACUAUCGCGCGGUGAAUACGUCCCUGCUCCU